UGCAGUCGAACGAGACCUUCGGGUCUAGUGGCGCACGGGUGCGUAACGCGUGGGAACCUGCCUUUAGGUUCGGAAUAACUCAGAGAAAUUUGAGCUAAUACCGGAUAAUGUCUUCGGACCAAAGAUUUAUCGCCUUUAGAUGGGCCCGCGUUGGAUUAGCUAGUUGGUGGGGUAAAGGCCUACCAAGGCGACGAUCCAUAGCUGGUCUGAGAGGAUGAUCAGCCACACUGGGACUGAGACACGGCCCAGACUCCUACGGGAGGCAGCAGUGGGGAAUAUUGGACAAUGGGCGAAAGCCUGAUCCAGCAAUGCCGCGUGAGUGAUGAAGGCCUUAGGGUUGUAAAGCUCUUUUACCAGGGAUGAUAAUGACAGUACCUGGAGAAUAAGCUCCGGCUAACUCCGUGCCAGCAGCCGCGGUAAUACGGAGGGAGCUAGCGUUGUUCGGAAUUACUGGGCGUAAAGCGCACGUAGGCGGCUUUUUAAGUCAGGGGUGAAAUCCCGGGGCUCAACCCCGGAACUGCCCUUGAAACUGGGAAGCUAGAAUCUUGGAGAGGCGAGUGGAAUUCCGAGUGUAGAGGUGAAAUUCG
rnacentral:rRNA from 1 species